rnacentral:lncRNA from 1 species
ACAGUACAGAAUCUGGAGCUAGAGAAAAAUUUAAAAAGCCACAGGGAUGUGAAUUGCUGAGCCCGAGAUAGAAGAGGUAGGGAAAAAAAAACAUAAGAACCUGCUUGUCUUCUGUUGAGUUAAAACGAACUAUUUUUUUAAAUAGUGUGAAAUAAAGGAAAUGAGAGACAUAUUAAGGAUAUGCUACAGUAAAUGUAGAGACAAGUGUAAGAGGGAUUU